UAGGGAAUAUUGGUCAAUGGGCGGAAGCCUGAACCAGCCAUGCCGCGUGCAGGAAGACGGCCUUCUGGGUUGUAAACUGCUUUUACCAGGGAACAAAUAGGCCAUGCGUGGCAAGUUGAGUGUACCUGGGGAAUAAGCACCGGCUAACACCGUGCCAGCAGCCGCGGUAAUACGGAGGGCGCAAGCGUUGUCCGGAUUUAUUGGGUUUAAAGGGUGCGUAGGCGGUUAUUUAAGUCAGUGGUGAAAACCCUGAGCUCAACUGAGGGCUUGCCAUUGAUACUGGAUAACUUGAUUACCGUACAGGUAGGCGGAAUUUAUGGUGUAGCGGUGAAAUGCAUAGAUACCAUAAAGAACACCGAUAGCGAAGGCAGCUUACUGGAGGGUUAAUGACGCUGAUGCACGAAAGCGUGGGUAGCGAACGGGAUUAGAUACCCCUGUAGUCC
rnacentral:rRNA from 1 species